AGAAGAAGCUGCCCAAGAAUGGAAAGGAAGAAAUAUAUCACAUCAUCUGUCUGUCCACAGGCUUUCCUUUGGGCUUAUGGAGAUUUCCUAGUGGUUACUGUUUCCCAUUGACUUAAAACCAAAGGACAAAGUGGACAUCUAACAAAUAGGUUUCUCAUUUUCCUCUGACAUAAUUGUACCACGAAAAUCAUAGAAAACUUCAAAUACAAUGGUGGAAAGCGCAUGGUGUAUCAAAAAGGGACCGCAGUUAAAAGCUAGGGCUAGGAUUUGGAGGAUGUGUAGGCAAACGGAAGGAGAGCCGGGGGAAGAAAAACCGAAAUGGAUUCAUUCUCUGUCCUGGAUGGAGGAGGAGAAGGGAAGAGAAGAGGACGUGAAAGCUUCCUUCAACUGCCUCUGUCCGGUGAAAAGUGAUCAACCCCCCGGGACUGAAUAGAACUCAAGAGUCCACGCGGACUUUCGCUUUAUCCUGCCAAUCAAACUGCUUACUAGACAACACCCUGAUCUGGCAUGGACAUUAAGAAGGAUAAGCUUGGAGCGCCCAGUCACCGUGGUAACUGCCAGAAAAAUUCUCCUGAAGUUUGAAGAGGUCAGCUCACAGGGUCAACAACUCUGGCCUCUUUCUGAGUUGGGCCUGGCAGGCCCCAUCCUGCAGUUGGAGUAGUAGGCCAGGCCUAGCCCUGGGAGGUGGGCCAUUCCAGCUCUGAUAUAAAUUUUUUGAGUCAGUUCACGGCCUGGACUCUCCAGGUGGUCUCCAAAAUCGAUUGUGACCUUCUGACCCUGUCUAACGGAGGUAUAGCAUCCAACCUAAGUAAGGAUUUAGCCAGGAAUGACAGCUUUCCACUGAGUGUUAUUGGGGACAGUACAAACAAUUUUGGAAGCAAGGAGGUAGGUAUGAGGAGUAGAGGUCAUUAAAAGCAUAUUAAAAAACUAUUUUUUAAAAUAACCUUGUUGGUGAAAAGUUUUUAUUAGCAUUGAGUACCCCUGUUGUAAACCUUUUGAGCAAAGCCCUUUCCCCCCUCCCCAAUGCUAUUUUAUAUUAAAUAUUCUGAAUGUUAAUGUGAAAAAUAGGCCCUUUGUAUAUUCCAAACCAAACCUAGUAUUUCCUCUGCAUCUGGAUUUCAAAUAUGUAAAUAAGGCUGACUGAUUUGUAGCCAAACAGGCACUGUCUAUAAAGACGGGAUAUUUUCCUAACACCACAGAAACAGCAGGUUGUUUAUUUAAGGAAGUAACUUCUUUAAUAUGGGCAGCCUUUUUAGAUUCAAAAUAAUCUUAAUAGAUGCAAUUUUUUAUUUAAAAAAGGAAAUUAAAUAACAUGCAAAAAUAGCCUGCGGGUUUCACAGGCUAUGUCCAUUGCUGUUUUGUAAAACAAAUAGCCAAGCCACAAAUUUGGUUACAUAUGAAUUCUAACAAUGCUAAGAUCAUACCUAUACCCAAGAAGAAAUAUUCUUGACGAUUGUAAGAAAUGCCGAAUUUUCUUGGGGCUGUUACUGUGCAGAGGUAACAAAGUAUAUAAUUUGAGCUUCUCAGCAGGUAGCUUUAUGCUUUGGUUUUCUACUGAGAUUGUCCUAUUUUAUUACUAUUUUAAAGAACCUAUUCUGCACCUAUACUCACUUGAGUAAUCCUUAUUCAUUUGCAGAAGUGGGACUGUAUGGAAUACGAAAAGUACAGUUACCAAGUCUAACAAUGUUCUUAAAAUUUCAUAUGUGACCUUAAAACUGCUAUGAAGAAAGUAAGUUGUGUAAUUAUUUUGUCCCGUUCUUAGGAAAAAUUAAAUAAACACACCCCAGCAGGAAUGUUUUUCCAAAUCAUUCUUGCUAUGCCUAGUAAAUAAGAGCUAAGUUCCAAUAUCCUUGCUCACGUUCCGUUAGUACCUUACCCCUCAAGUGGCCCCACUGAAGCCACUGGAGAUGCCAGAAGAGUGAGAUAUUAAACACAAAUAAGAGUGGCAGAGUCUGGCCCAAAGGCUCAGUUCUGAGUCUGGUUCUCACAACAAAUAGUACUUUACUGUGCAAAUGCUCCUGUUGGUUACUAUGGCUCAGAUUCUGUUGCCUUUACUCACAUUGAAUAGUACCUUACUCUGCAAAUAAUCUCAUUGAAAUCAGUGAAACAUUUGUGGAAUAAGAUAUUAGUCAAGCUACAUAGGGUCUCAGAAUCUGGUCCAGUGGGGCUUGGUGUGAAGUAAGGUACUACUUAGGGUGAGUAAGGAUGGCAGAGCUGGGCCCCAAAUAAACUAGGGCCUGAUCCUGCACCUGUUGAAGUCUGGGGUAAAUCCUCUCAUGGUUUUCCUAGUGAAUACUAACCACACAUAUUUUUAAAACAGGGCUACAGUAAAAACAACGUAGUGACAUGAGAAGGCCCAUUGACUUCAGAGGGACUCUUUGUGAGAAUAAGACUGGCAGAAUCUGGCUUGUACUCUUCAGUGAGGACUAGUGCCUUUGCUUGGUUUACAGAAAACAUAUUUAAAAAUGAGAGUUAUGAGCAAUCAAAUGAUUUUUAGCAGAGCUUACUAUAUCCUCAUCUCCUUUGUGGCAUGAUUCUACAUUUCCCCUGUCCUGCCUAACAAGCACAUGGGCUGCUACUAAGACAGUCUGCAUGAUGGAGAAUGUAAAUAUUUCCCUGGGACACAGAUCAAAAUUCUCCCAGCCCCUGCCCCAGCCUUACCAUCAAGAACAGGCAAAAAUAAUUGGCAUCGGAAAUAAAGAAGUGAAUCCCGAGAUCUUUGGUUCUCUGCAAUUUUACUUGCAUUUUAGGGUAACCUGAAAAAUUAGACAUUUUCUUAAAACAAAAUCGGGUUGGGGCCUGAUUGUUGUCUGUCUGUUCACGUCGUGCAGUCAUCUGCACCUGAGCAAAGUGGAUAUAAAAUGCACAGAUGCAAAUGAAAACACAGGAAAUGGAGAAAAAAGCCCUUUAUCUUUUUCCAUAGUGAAGAUUCAGCUAUCAUAUAUACAAAUGAUAGAUUGUCUCCUACCAAACAUUAGCAGCAGCAAAGGUGAGAAUUUUUAACCUCCUUCAUGCCGUUUAUUUCAGUGCGAUGUGAACUUCAAAACAUAAUGGCUCCAUUCCAAUAAGUUAUUAAGUAUAGGCUAUUCCUUUACACUUUCAUUAAAAAGCAAGGGAAUUAUACGAACAAACUGGCUUAAUGAAAAGUUAAGGAUGAACAGUCAAAAUCACCAACAGAGACAAGGAGGGUGAGGUAAUAUCUUUUAUUGGACCAACUUCCAGGGGUGAAAGAGACAAGCUUUCAACCUGCAGAAGAGGUCUAUGUAGUUCAAAAGCUUGUCUCUUUCACCAAGAGAAGUGGGUCUAUUAAAAUAUAUUCCUUCACCCACCUUGUGUGUCUACUCUCGUGGGACCAACACAGCUAUAGCAGCACUGCAAAAUCACCCAGAGCAGGACAGUAGCUUUAACCAUAGCGUUUAGUAUGGGCUGGUAAAGAGCUGCACUGCCCUGGGGGAACCACUAGAGGCAGCAUGCCUCUCAGAGAUGGCUGCACUCAGGGAAGCAUCAUGGAAGGAGUGCCAGAGUUCCUUCUCCGCACUCCUCCUAUGCUUUUGGCCCAUGGCUGACCAGCUUUGCUGACUGACAUGUAGGGGGUGGGCAGAGCCAUAGUGCCCCACCUACUCCCUGCCCUUCCCCACCUCAUUAUGGGUGAGCUCCGUCAUGUAGUUGCAGCCCCCCACCCCCCGCCCACAGGAGCUACAGUUCAGGCUGGCCCUUCUGCAGGUGCCCCAAAUUGUGAGAGGUUUGGUACUCCUCCCUACCUACUGUAUUACACUGAAAAGCCUGCUACUAUCUAGCUCAGAGUCAGGAAAUGGAAGUGAAGGUUCCAAAGAGCAACAUUAACUUGGACAUGUUUCACAUUGGAAGUGUUUUCUGUUUCUGGCUGUGGUUAGAUGUGCAGUUUAAUGUUCCUUUUAAGGUGCCAAAAGAUUACCAUGGAGUAGCCAUUAUAUACAACCUAACCCAGUGGACACGGCCCUUGAAACUUUAACUUCUGUUUUUCUUGAUGAUCUGUGAUUUAGCUGUGUGUCCUGAUGGUGCAUAAAAUUAUAAAGGAUAUGCUCCCUCUGCAACUUGUUGGAGAGUUUCAGUCAGAGAGGGCAUAUUUUAUAAUCUUAGCCCUCAUUUGAAGUGUAGCUGUUAUACAUGCACUUUCUGAUGCAAAGCUUCUGUAUGCUGUUUCCCCAUUAUGUUAAAUCCUGAUUAGGAAACAAAUCUUUACAAUCCCCAUUCUAAUGUAACACAAGUAAAUUAUGCUUUGGGCAUAUACAAUGGAAGUGUAGAUUAUUUUAGAUAUAUAAAAGUUCUACUGAACUUGAGGAUAGUGGUUUAAUUACAGGAUUUUUUAAAAAAUUGCUGUUAAUAAAGACAGCCAGUGUUUUCCCCCCUUUGAUUUACCUCCAGAUCAACCAUAUUCAGUACCCCCUUUCUGGCAUUUUCAGCAACAUAUGUGGGUUGGCAGGAUCUUAUAGGCAUUUCCAUCUUCUCAGCACUGAUAUUUUUUCUGGAUUGUAGCACCAACUCCACAGUGUGCCAUUGUUUGGAGUCUUUCAGUGAUUCUUCUUCUCCCAACUGGAAACUUGCCCCAGACCCAUAUUUCUUUAUUACAGUUUUUCAAAACAAUUAUAGAAGUACUGAUUGUAGUAAGAGGCAGUGUGAGCCAAUGAUUAGAUCAGACAGCAGAGAGUCAAGAGACGUGGGUGUCGUUCCACAUUCUGCCUCUGAUUUCCUGUUUGACCUUGGGUUUGGCCUUGGGCAAGUUACUUAACUUCUCUGUAACUCAGUUUCCCUAUCUGUAAAAUGGGAAUAAUAAUGCUCACCUUUAUAGAGUGCUUUGAGAUCUUUGAAUAAAAGGUACUAUGUAAGA